rnacentral:tRNA from 1 species
UGGCCCAUGGCAUGGCCGAGCAUGCCGGGCGCUACCAGCGCCUGGGCGAAGCCUUGAGCGCCGCAGGUUUUGCCCUGAUCGCCCAU